rnacentral:rRNA from 1 species
AGAGUUUGAUCCUGGCUCAGGAUGAACGCUGGCGGCGUGCUUAAUACAUGCAAGUCGAACGGAGAGUUUUGUAGCAAUACGAAGCUUCUCAGUGGCGAACGGGUGAGUAACGCGUUGGUGACCUGCCCCGAAGUGUGGGAUAACAGUCCGAAAGGAUUGCUAAUACCGCAUGUGGUCAUUGGAUUUAGAAACCGAUGAUUAAAGGAGCGAUUCGCUUCGGGAGGGACCUGCGUCCCAUCAGCUAGUUGGUGAGGUAACGGCCCACCAAGGCGUCGACGGGUAAGGGACCUGAGAGGGUGGUCCCUCACAAUGGCACUGAAACACGGGCCAUACACCUACGGGUGGCAGCAGUAGGGAAUAUUGGGCAAUGGGCGAAAGCCUGACCCAGCAACGCCGCGUGCACGAUGAAGGCCUUCGGGUCGUAAAGUGCUUUUCUGGGAGAUGAGAAAGGACAGUAUCCCAGGAAUAAGCCUCGGCUAACUACGUGCCAGCAGCCGCGGUAAAACGUAGGAGGCAAGCGUUAUCCGGAUUUACUGGGCGUAAAGCGCGUGUAGGCGGUUCGGCAAGUUGGAUGUGAAAUCUCCCGGCUCAACUGGGAGGGGUCGUUCAAUACUACCGAACUUGAGGGCAUCAGAGGAAGGUGGAAUUCCCGGUGUAGUGGUGAAAUGCGUAGAUAUCGGGAGGAACACAGUGGCGAAGGCGGCCUUCUGGGAUGCAUCUGACGCUCAGACGCGAAAGCUAGGGGAGCGAACGGGAUUAGAGACCCCGGUAGUCCUAGCAGUAAACUAUGUAGACUUGGUGUCGGAGGUGUCAAAACCUUCGGUAUCGUAGCUAACGCGAUAAGUCUACCGCCUGGGGACUACGGCCGCAAGGUUAAAACUCAAAGGAAUUGACGGGGGCCCGCACAAGCAGCGGAGCGUGUGGUUUAAUUCGAUGCUACACGAAGAACCUUACCCGGGUUUGACAUGUUGGUGGUAGGGAUCCGAAAGGUGACCGACCCGCAAGGGAGCCUUCACAGGUGCUGCAUGGCUGUCGUCAGCUCGUGUCGUGAGAUGUUCGGUUAAGUCCGCUAACGAGCGCGACCCUCGCCACGUGUUACAUGUGUCACGUGGGACCGCCGGUAUCAAGCCGGAGGAAGGUGGGGAUGACGUCAAGUCAGCAUGGCCUUUAUGUCCGGGGCUACACACACGCUACAAUGGUCGGUACAAUGGGUCGCUAAGCCGCGAGGUAGAGCCAAUCCCCAAAGCCGGCCUCAGUUCAGAUCACAGGCUGCAACCCGCCUGUGUGAAGUCGGAGUUGCUAGUAAACGCGCGUCAGCUAUAGUGCGUUGAAUACGUUCUCGGGCCUUGUACACACCGCCCGUCACGUCAUGGGAGCUGGUAACACCUGAAGCCGGUAGCCUAACCGUAAGGAGGGCGCUGUCGAAGGUGGUGCUGGUGACUGGGACGAAGUCGUAACAAGGUA